rnacentral:rRNA from 1 species
AUUGAACGCUGGCGGCAGGCCUAACACAUGCAAGUCGAGCGGAUGAAGGGAGCUUGCUCCUGGAUUCAGCGGCGGACGGGUGAGUAAUGCCUAGGAAUCUGCCUGGUAGUGCGGGAUAACGUCCGGAAACGGGCGCUAAUACCGCAUACGUCCUGAGGGAGAAAGUGGGGGAUCUUCGGACCUCACGCUAUCAGAUGAGCCUAGGUCGGAUUAGCUAGUUGGUGGGGUAAAGGCCUACCAAGGCGACGAUCCGUAACUGGUCUGAGAGGAUGAUCAGUCACACUGGAAGUGGGACAGGGUCCAGACUCCUAAGGGAGGCCGCAGUGGGGAAUAGUGGACAAUGGGCGAAAGCCUGAGACAGCCAUCCCGCGUGUGUGAAAAAGGUCUUCGGAUUGUAAAGCACUUUAAGUUGGGAGGAAGGGCAGUAAGUUAAUACCUUGCUGUUUUGACGUUACCAACAGAAUAAGCACCGGCUAACUUCGUG